AUUGAACGCUGGCGGCAUGCUUUACACAUGCAAGUCGAACGGCAGCGCGGGCUUCGGCCUGGCGGCGAGUGGCGAACGGGUGAGUAAUGCAUCGGAACGUGCCCAGUAGUGGGGGAUAGCCCGGCGAAAGCCGGAUUAAUACCGCAUACGACCUGAGGGUGAAAGCGGGGGACCGAAAGGCCUCGCGCUAUUGGAGCGGCCGAUGUCGGAUUAGCUAGUUGGUGGGGUAAAGGCUUACCAAGGCGACGAUCCGUAGCUGGUCUGAGAGGACGACCAGCCGCACUGGGACUGGGACACGGCCCAGACUCCUACGGGAGGCAGCAGUGGGGAAUUUUGGACAAUGGGGCCAACCCUGAUCCAGCCAUGCCGCGUGCGGGAAGAAGGCCUUCGGGUUGUAAACCGCUUUUGUUCGGGAAGAAAUCCUCUGGGCUAAUACCCCGGGGGGAUGACGGUACCGGAAGAAUAAGCACCGGCUAACUACGUG
rnacentral:rRNA from 1 species